rnacentral:rRNA from 1 species
GAUGAACGCUGGCGGCGUGCCUAAUACAUGCAAGUCGAGCGAAUGGAUUAAGAGCUUGCUCUUAUGAAGUUAGCGGCGGACGGGUGAGGAACAAGGGGGUAACCUGGCCAUAAGACUGGGAUAAAUUCGGGAAACCGGGGCUAAUUCCGGAAAAAAUUUUGAACCGCAUGGUUUGAAAUUGAAAGGCGGCUUCGGGCGUGACUUAUGGAUGGAACCGGGUCGCUUUAGCUAGUUGGUGGGGUAACGGCUCACCAAGGCAACGAUGGGUAGGCGGACUGAGAGGGGGAUCGGCCACACUGGGACUGAGACACGGCCCAGACUCCUACGGGAGGCAGCAGUAGGGAAUCUUCCGCAAUGGACGAAAGUCUGACGGAGCAACGCCGCGUGAGUGAUGAAGGCUUUCGGGUCGUAAAACUCUGUUGUUAGGGAAGAACAAGUGCUAGUUGAAUAAGCUGGCACCUUGACGGUACCUAACCAGAAAGCCACGGCUAACUACGUGCCAGCCGCCGCGGUAA